rnacentral:rRNA from 1 species
CAUUUGAUCUCAAAUCAGGUAGGACUACCCGCUGAACUUAAGCAUAUCAAUAA